GAUAUACUCCCUUCGUCCUAAAAUUCUUGUCUUACAUACAUCUGUAUCUAGACAAAUUUAAGACAAGAAUUUUGGGACGGAGGGAGUACUAG
rnacentral:pre_miRNA from 1 species